ACUUUAUUUGAUUUUAGGAAUACUUCCUUUCCUAUUUUUAUUUAAGUGAGUACAAAUCAGGCAACAUGUAUUUAUUCCUGAAAAGCCAACAACUAAACAUAUAUAAAACACUAUGAGAUGGUAGAAGUCCUGAAGCUAUUUGUAGACCACACCAAAUGAGGAAGAUGGUAUUCGUAGACCAAGUUUAUU
rnacentral:miRNA from 1 species